CCAGUUCUGUCGGCCUACCAGAGGAUUUGGCGGAGCAGGGCCGGGCGAUACUCAAGACUUGUCUGUGAAAACACCCGCAUCUUACCGGCACGUCCCAGGGCCUCCAUACUGUGCACUGACUAUAUCUGCAUUGCUAAUAAGGACCUCUAAGGAAUUAGACUAACCCAGUCUGAUUCACAUUUCGGUCAUGGUUAAGAAGCACAGCUUGUGUUAGAUCAGAGAUCAUGGAAGCAUCCUUAAGCAACACCCGUGCCCUGCAACAGGACUUCCGGAGACCAUACAGGAGACAACACUAAGGUGGCGCUAGUCCUCUCUCAUGAAACCUUUGGAACUAUUAAGGCUGAAGUGCCAUUUGAAGAAAAAAGAAGGCAAAGAAAUGAGCCAUAGGAAGCCGUGCCUCUGCUUAAGGCCGAUUUGUCAUUCAGCUUGGGGCUCUUAACCUGAUGGACCCUCUCAAGGCUCUGAAACCAGGAGGAAGCAGCAGCCCCGGGAGAGUCCGAGGAAUGGAGUCCUGCCAGCCUUCGGGUCAUUUUUCUCUCCCUGGUGGUGGCCUUGGAGCUGCAGGAGAGGGGAUGGGCAUUGCGCAGCCGCCGCCAGUGACAACCUGCUCUGCGAGGACCCCGUGGAACGUCAGCAUCUUCCCCAAAGAGAAGAAUCUGACAGACACAAGUCCACUCCCAGCUUGAGGGCCAUGUGACUUGGCACACACCGCUGCUGGGAACUGCCCGGGCAAGGUAGGGGGUGGGAGGGACACUGGGUGUGGCGAAACCCAGCCGACCUUGAUAAACUUGCUGUGACAGUGAGAUCAAAGGGCUGAGGUUAUCUGAAGACUCCCCCCAGUGCCGGUAACAAAUGUGAAGCUAAAUAAACUUUUCUAAACUUGGACUGAUUUUUAAAAAGAGAACAAAUUUUGACCAACUGUGUUAGAAGACUGAUUUAUCUUUAUAC